CCAGUUUUUCCUCCCCCUUUGAGUUGCAUAGACACUUAAAUAAAUAAACGUAAGCACACACAGCCCCCGGUCCCAUCCCAAAUCUUUUCUAGGUUGCCCCACAUGUGGAACCAUGCAGGAUUUGCCUGAUUCAGGGGCUGGCAGGCUAAAUGGAGCUCACGCCAGCGUGCUGUGAGGCGAGCUGUCAUGAGGAGACCAGCUAUGGAGAAUUGACUCGCAUUGCCGUUGUGCGCGGGAGGAACUCCAGGAACCUUCCACUGUGCCCAGCGCUUCUUUUUUUCCCCUUUUCUUUUUAAUACUAAUGUGGUUCUGAACCCAUGUUGAAAGGAAAAUAUGUUUUCUUUCACCCUUUAAGUUUCAGCUGUGGAAGGAUGCUUAAAAUGUACACUCACUCACUGUAUUUUAUCCUGGAAUUUAUUACAGGUUGAGCCCACCUGCUGGCCCUUGAGACCCUGCAGUUUUGUCCCAAGUUUGGCUGCUUCCGUAAUAUUUUGCACAGAGAAAUUGGGUCAUGAUUUUAACACCCUGUAACGCCUCUAUUGCGUUCUUGCACCUCGGGGUCUUUGGGCAGAAUCUGAUGCAGGAACCCUAGGAACAAAAGGUAAAUAAUGACUACGGUUCACUCAUGAACCAGUGCUCAAUUUUGUGAUUUCUGACCUCUAAUUUUGGACAAGCACUUACAAAAAACGAGCUGUCAGAAACCCAUUUUCCUGCUCUCCAAAAGAGCCUGUUUUUUGACAGUCUCUGCUAUUGUCUAGAUAACAGCUUCCUCCAGCCCUCCUCCACGCACAGCUCUUUGUUGUUCUCCUCCAUAGCUCGGGAGUUAAAAUAAAGCUUUCAGCAAAUGUGGCAUUUCCUUCUCCUCUGCUCUGCUGUUGUCACAAAUGAUUUUAUAGAACAAAUCUAAUUUUGCCUUCAACAAGCUUUGUUGUUGUUUGUUGGUGUUUUUUGUUGUUUUGUUUUUGUUUUUAAACAGCAAUUCUUAUAAUGAUAGUGAAAAUAUUCUUUGACAUAAAGUGUUGAUUUUGGUGGAGAAUAAUAUCCCUCAGCCUGGCUUUCUCUGCUGUCCACAUAUUUUUGUAAAAUUUCCAGUAGGUUUUCUACUUAUAUGAAUACUUCUGACCUCAUGGGUACCUAGGACGCGAGGAUCAGUAAGAAAAUGAAAAUAAACAUUUAUUUUCCCCCUUUAACAUGUAAUAUAUUGCAGUUAUUGGUUACCUGGCUCUGCUGUACGCUCAGUGGGGACAUGUGCCUAUCCCUUCGGAUGGAACAUGAAAACAGCACAGUAUUUCCAAACCAAGGCUUGGUGUUGGAGGGGUUUCCCACCUCUUUACUCCUUGUCCAUGCUGAGGAAGGUCGCCUGCUCUUUGCAUGGUCUUCCUCCAUCUCAGUCUUGGCCGUCGGUGCUCUAUUGCCAUCAUCUGGCCUUCUGUAGCCUUUAAUCUGAAGGAUUUGGCCCCCCAGAUUGUCUUCAUAAAUGUUUCUGAGGUGGAAGCUGAGUUAUUUUCUCAGUACUCUCAGCACCACAAUCCCCCCGCGGGCUCCAAGUUGGAAGCAGCAGAAAUGUGAGCACCUCCCUUCAAACUGAUGGAGCACGGCGAUGUGGUCCAGCACUUUUUCAAUGCUGCGGUGUAAAAGAUAACUCUCUCAUCUCAGGAAAUCCUUCUGUCUUGACUGUGGAAGUAGGCCAAUGACUUAUUAAACAUUGAUUUUCCAUUUCAACCAAUACAUUGAACGCAACAAGCGGAGGCCAGGCCGCCUCUGUGGCCUUUGUGCUGGACAGAAGCAGCUGGGGUGGGUGCAGGGGGCACAGGCUGGGGACACGGUGCUGACACGAGGCCGAUGCACGACACAGGGCUGGAGCAGCUGGGUUGGUCCCUGUUUGGGCAGCUCCACCUUCAGGCACAAACACAGGUCACAGCAUGAGGCCAUGAAAUGCCCAUGACAUGGAGGCUGCGUGAGCGCAGCAGCGCAGGCGGCUCUGUGGUUGUGGUGACUUCAACAAGCCACAAAAUGGCCGCCCCGAGGCUCGGCUUCUGUGGCAGCGUGUGGUAAAAUGGAGAGGUCCCCAAAUCCAGCUGGUCACAGCCUGGGCAACUUUUGACACAGAAAGGGGUUAAACAUCACGGUAACCUGUUUAAGGUGUUCCCUGUGUCUUGGUCUUUUCUAGAUCCCUCCUCUGGGUCAUAGCUUGUGCUUUUAAAAUCAUUUCAACCUCCGUAAUUUUUUGGCAGUUUGGGGGAAGAGCCCGUGAGUUCAGGAGAAUUUAUUUCUGGCUAGAGAAUGCAGUUUCAGAUGAGACAUCUGACACCAUGAAAAUGAGGCGCUUCUUGUGGGAAUACUUCAUUCUGUCAGAAUAUUUUUGUCUGUUUAUUUCUGCUGCUCUGGCACUUACAGGAGAUGCUGAUUAUAAAGAACUUCUUGAAGGAAAGAAAGGCAGAGGUUACAAGGCUUUGAAAAUUAGAAACACAACCAAAAAAAAGAAUUUUAAUAGAGACCGAAGGAGAAGAGCUUGAGCAGGAAAGAAAAUGAAGAUGACUACAACUGAAAUAAUCCUGGAUGUUCUAGAGAGGAGGUUGCUGUUUGUUUACUUUCUGGUAGGAAGAUCUUUUUCUCCCAAAGUAACAAAAAUAAGCCAGUUUCUGGUAGAUGGCAUCACCUUUGUGAAUGUCAGUGGUAUGGGAACCAUUUUCCUGCAAAUCCUUUUACUGGCUGUCCUUUUAGGUGCGUUCAUUCCUAUUAGCCUUCUGAGUGUAUAAAGACUAAUUUUUAGAAAAUAUUGUGCAUAUGUUUUUUGAAAUCUCCUUUAAAAGAUGGAAAGAAUGUAUUUCUACUGUUUAAAAAAAAUGAUGUUUUUAAGAGAGGGAUGAAACCUCUUCUACCAAUGUGUCAUUUAUAAAGGUUGAUGUAACAGUGUGUGCCUGUGUCUGUACAUGCAAGUAUGCACAAAGAGAUCAAGACCAAUUUACAUAGGGAGUGUUUAUCUUCAUUUUUGCCCUUUCCUGUUCCGCCUCCUCACCCCUCCACUUCUCCGCAUGACGGGCAGGUGCCUGCACUCCUCCUCCUUCUGGUGCAUUUUCCUUUCAGGUUACCCCAAGCUAUUGUGACCACCUGGGUGCCCCCAGGCUUUCCUUGGAAAAAACAGUGUUCAGAGAUGCCAGGCAGAGCCUCUCUGCUCCCCAGGAUAGCUCCUACAACCGAGCUCUCGCCUCCCUGAAGAUUUCUGUCAGGCAGAGCUGCACGUUCCCUACCGCAGCUUAGAGAAGUGCUCUCUGCAGAGCCAGGCCCGCCUGGCUCCCAUGCAGCUGUGGCAGCUUGGCUGUGGUGAGCAGUGUGGCAGGAGUCCAGCUGCCUCCCCAGCUCUGUCAACUCGCUGAAAUAUUUGAGAUAUUGACGAUAAUUGCUACAGCUGUUUUUGUAUAUUUUCCCUCCUUUCUUUCCCCCUUCUUGCAACAGAGAUGAAGAGUGACAGAAAUAGAUUCUUAGGAGCUGAGAGCUGUCUGAUCACUUAAAGGGUUUUUUAUUUCCAUACUGCUCUUGUACAUUAGUCAGGAUUUUGAUGGAUGGCCUGCUGUAGGACAUAGUUAGCACUCCCUUUUAGCUCUGCUGUGUUCCAAACGCUGUAAUUGAUUAUACGGGUAUUGGAACAGACUUUUUUUAUCAGUUCCCUGGGCGCUUUGACCACAGCGUUUCAAGGAAGUAAAACAAGGGGGGUGAUCAGGCAGGUUGGCAGAUAGGCAGCACUGAGGUCCUACAGAAGCCCAUGACCCUACAGUGCCGACUGUAUGAUCCCAGUUCACUCACUAUGAAUUUAUCUUAGCCACACCGCCUAUAUCCCCUUUGCCUAAUGUGAAGCAUAUGCUCGCUAAAUUAAGGGCACAUAAAUUUGUCAUCAUAAAUUCAUGCACUGGAGCAUAAUUAAAGCGGAAUUUGACAGCCUUUCUAAAAACAUUUGGUGCACCCAUUAAUUUUGUCUCCCUUAUGAAGCAUUCUAAGGUAUUUUAUGAUGUGUAUUCAUGCCAAGAACUUAGCUAUGUAUUUUUGAUGAUGUUGGAUGACAUCGAUGGCAUUACUAAAUUUGAUUGCCAGCGGCCUCUACUGUGAAACUGUUCUUCAACAACAGAAGAAUCUUUUUAACUCUGAAAGUACAUCAACAUUGUAGUCCCUAGUAAAGGUUGGGAUUUAUAUUCUAAAAGCUGUCCUCAGGCACUCCAAGCAUAGAUGCUGCUUAGUGCUUCUUAUUGACCUGAGACCAGAAUUACUAAUAAUUUUGUUAGAUACUCAUCAGGAUCACAACACUGUCAGAGCACUGCAUGUCUGUUCCUGUUUUGCCCUGCUCCAGUGCUCUCUUGUACCUGAACUGCUGGAAAAUCAAUCUUAGAUCUGACAGGACUGUGUUCGCCUGGGCUUUUGGCAGCAGCAGUGCCAGCAUCCAUGCUAGCCGUGCAUGAAAAGGAGAUGCUACACUCUGCACUCAGACCAGUGACACUACACACCGGCCCCGUUCCUGCAGACGUACUAGCUUUCAUUCAUUCCUCUUCCACCCUUUGCCCUGUGAGCUGCAGAAGCCCUUUGUAUUUAGGGCCGUGCAAGUAAAUGUAGCUCCUCCAUAGAAACACCUUGCAUUAUUGGCAGUUCCCCAUUUAUUCCACUUCUUUUUCUUCUGAGAGAUUUGAAAGCCUACAGUUUCACUUCAGUCAUCAUGGAUCUCCCUCAUUUCUGUCCUGCGAUAGGGGUGAAGGGGGACAUUUCUUUAUAAGGUGAGAAUUCAUAAGACCAGAGCUCUGAUCACAGCAAAGAAAACCAAAAAUGCCUGUCACCAUCAAGAAAUCUUGUUUUUAUUUUUUUCCAGGAGAACAUUUAUGAAGUUUAGGUCAAACCAUCCACCUCACCAUAGCCAUAAAACAGCAGCAGUAGUAGGAUUCAAGUGAUUAUUGUUAUUGUGGGUGGUUACUUGUUUGGUUUUGUUUCUUGAGACAGAUGCUCAUCUCCUUACACUAGACCUUGGCCAUGUCACCUCCUUUAUAGCUGACCUAUAAAUCCCAGCAGUCAGAUGAAAGGUUGUUUAACAUUUGCAUUUCAAUGUUUUCUUCUCUUCCACUUCCUUUUGUUUUUAUUAAAUUAGAACAUAGCAUUUGCAUAUUUCAGAUCUGGUUUGGGCUUUACUUGGAUGUGUGUCGCACCAGCAGGGCAUGGGCUGGAAGGACUUUGAAAGUUGCCAUGUCUACCACAGAGCAGUCUGGAGAGCUGAAGCAUACCCAAAGCCUAAAUUACAACUCUGAUCUGCCAAGUUUGGGCUUUGAGGGAUUAUCUAGAAAAAGCAUCACACUGACUCUUAAAAAAAACCUUUAUUGCAUGUUUUACUUCCUCUUUUCAAUCCAAAUAUCAAAAGCAACACUUCAGUUCUGUCUCAGACCUCUCCCUUUUCAGAAAAGCUGGCACUUUAUGAGGAUAGAGGUACUCUCCCAUCCAACUACCAGACAAUGCACGCCCAAGGGCUGAAACAAACCUGACCGAACACAUUCAACUCAUUAUGCCAGAGGCCAAACUCCCCUUAGACCAGCUAUCUCGGUACAGAAGGAUUUCCCUUUGGUGACCAGCUCUCCACUCCCUGCAGCAGUUACAUCCUAAAUCCAUCAGACAGCUCUG